UACGGGGGGAGCAAGCGUUGUUCGGAUUUACUGGGCUUAAAGGGUGCGUAGGCUGUGCGGAAAGUUGGGUGUGAAAUACCUCAGCUUAACUGAGGAACUGCGCUCAAAACUACCGUGCUCGAGGGAGACAGAGGUGAGCGGAACUUAGGGUGGAGCGGUGAAAUGCGUUGAUAUCCUAAGGAACACCGGUGGCGAAAGCGGCUCACUGGAUCUCUUCUGACGCUGAGGCACGAAAGCUAGGGUAGCGAACGGG
rnacentral:rRNA from 1 species